GCUUAAGUACUUUGUUCUGGUGCUUAAAAGCAUAAUAGGGAAUUCCGUGAAAAUCGGGAACGGGCCCGCCGCUGUAACCGGGGACGAAUGCCGCAGAAAAUCCACUGCCUGAAUUAUUUCAGGUGGGAAGGGGCGGUUGUAGGACGAACCGGAAGUCAGAAGACCUGCCUGAACAAAAUGGUUUAU
rnacentral:ncRNA from 2 species